rnacentral:tRNA from 1 species
GCACCCGUAGCUCAGCUGGAUAGAGUACUCGGCUGUCAGAGGUUCGAAUCCUCUCGGGUGCGCCA